UCGUAGGGCACAGGAACAUUCUUGUUGUACGCACGCAGGUAAGGGUCCACGCUGACCCACUCGGUUUUGAGCAAAACUUCUCCAUCUUUGAGCGGUGGCAGUUCGUACUCCACGAUUUCAAAAUCCGAUAGCUUAGGAACACCGUCGAAGUGUUU
rnacentral:lncRNA from 1 species